GUACACAAAAAUGCACAUGCUGUGAGCUCGAUGAGUAGGGCGGGACACGUGGUAUCCUGUCUGAAUAUGGGGGGACCAUCCUCCAAGGCUAAAUACUCCUGACUGACCGAUAGUGAACCAGUACCGUGAGGGAAAGGCGAAAAGAACCCCGGCGAGGGGAGUGAAAAAGAACCUGAAACCGUGUACGUACAAGCAGUGGGAGCACGCUUAGGCGUGUGACUGCGUACCUUUUGUAUAAUGGGUCAGCGACUUAUAUUCUGUAGCAAGGUUAACCGAAUAGGGGAGCCGAAGGGAAACCGAGUCUUAACUGGGCGUUAAGUUGCAGGGUAUAGACCCGAAACCCGGUGAUCUAGCCAUGGGCAGGUUGAAGGUUGGGUAACACUAACUGGAGGACCGAACCGACUAAUGUUGAAAAAUUAGCGGAUGACUUGUGGCUGGGGGUGAAAGGCCAAUCAAACCGGGAGAUAGCUGGUUCUCCCCGAAAGCUAUUUAGGUAGCGCCUCGUGAAUUCAUCUCCGGGGGUAGAGCACUGUUUCGGCAAGGGGGUCAUCCCGACUUACCAACCCGAUGCAAACUGCGAAUACCGGAGAAUGUUAUCACGGGAGACACACGGCGGGUGCUAACGUCCGUCGUGAAGAGGGAAACAACCCAGACCGCCAGCUAAGGUCCCAAAGUCAUGGUUAAGUGGGAAACGAUGUGGGAAGGCCCAGACAGCCAGGAUGUUGGCUUAGAAGCAGCCAUCAUUUAAAGAAAGCGUAAUAGCUCACUGGUCGAGUCGGCCUGCGCGGAAGAUGUAACGGGGCUAAACCAUGCACCGAAGCUGCGGCAGCGACGCUUAUGCGUUGUUGGGUAGGGGAGCGUUCUGUAAGCCUGCGAAGGUGUGCUGUGAGGCAUGCUGGAGGUAUCAGAAGUGCGAAUGCUGACAUAAGUAACGAUAAAGCGGGUGAAAAGCCCGCUCGCCGGAAGACCAAGGGUUCCUGUCCAACGUUAAUCGGGGCAGGGUGAGUCGACCCCUAAGGCGAGGCCGAAAGGCGUAGUCGAUGGGAAACAGGUUAAUAUUCCUGUACUUGGUGUUACUGCGAAGGGGGGACGGAGAAGGCUAUGUUGGCCGGGCGACGGUUGUCCCGGUUUAAGCGUGUAGGCUGGUUUUCCAGGCAAAUCCGGAAAAUCAAGGCUGAGGCGUGAUGACGAGGCACUACGGUGCUGAAGCAACAAAUGCCCUGCUUCCAGGAAAAGCCUCUAAGCAUCAGGUAACAUCAAAUCGUACCCCAAACCGACACAGGUGGUCAGGUAGAGAAUACCAAGGCGCUUGAGAGAACUCGGGUGAAGGAACUAGGCAAAAUGGUGCCGUAACUUCGGGAGAAGGCACGCUGAUAUGUAGGUGAGGUCCCUCGCGGAUGGAGCUGAAAUCAGUCGAAGAUACCAGCUGGCUGCAACUGUUUAUUAAAAACACAGCACUGUGCAAACACGAAAGUGGACGUAUACGGUGUGACGCCUGCCCGGUGCCGGA
rnacentral:rRNA from 1 species